CUCUGAAAGCUUAUCCUGAUAAAAGUCAAAUUGAAUCAGUAGCUUCUGAACUUGUUUGCAAAUAUCCAUGCCUCAAGGAGCCUGGUACAGGAUAUGAUGGCUGGACAACAAGCAUAAAAUGCAAGCUUGGAAAUUACCGAGCCAAGCUCCGACAGGCUGGUUGUCACGAGGUCAGUGUAAACAGGAAAAGAGGAUGGUCUGAAAAUCCUGAUGAAGGUUGCUUUGCCUUGAAAAAAACCAAAGCGAGGCGAAGUCAAUCAUGUGCCCGACCAUCCACAUAACUAUGAUGAUGAUGGUCUAGAAGACGAAAGAUGUGUUCUGGUGAAUGAAGCGAAAAAGAAGUCAAAAGACAUGGAACUCAUCCGUCAGAAGAUGGACCUCACAUUUUCCCUGAGGAGAAAGGAGAUUAUUGAGGUGCAGCCCAAGGUCUCAGAAAUCCAGGAGAGGUGACCUGCCCUGUUUCUUAAGGAGCAGAUUUGCUGGGAGUUUUACCGUGUAGCUACCAAGGAACUGUUGUGGACGUUUAGAGCAGCCCCAGACACUCACUGUGCUUGACUACUCAAACUAUAUCGUGCCAUGGAAAGGGGCCUUUGGACAAGACAUGGAGAGCAUCUUGGAUGUUCUUGAUGAACAGACAUCACAAUGCAUCGAAGGAGAGCAUGUCUAGAAGGUCUGUCUGUCUUUCUCUGUGACAGUUCAGAGAAGCUUUUCCUGAAAUGCCUGGACACUGAUCCAGAAGACAGAGAGACAAAAGGGGUUCAAAUGGGAGUGCUCACCGUGUUUGUGGAUGAUGGUGCACUGGCCUCAAACUGUCAACAACAUUGCAGUGGUGUUGGAGGAGGCUAAUGUGCUCGAAGACAUUCCAGACCUCCCCACUGCCUUUGCUUACCUUUUUGGCCUGCUCUAUGCCUUGAACAUAGAGUUCCCAAAACAUCUAAGGUAUACGUUUGAAGCAGUGCAGCACAUCUUCAUGGAACUUUCCCCCUCUUGCUCACAGCGUGUGCGGAGCCUGAAAACCAAGCUCUUGCAAUACGAAGCCUGACAUUGUCCACACCAAUCUAUCUUCAUGAGCCUUUGUAGAGCUGCUUUUCUUAUUUUUUAGUUGUGUUGGCUGGCUUUUGGGCCUGUUUUGCACAGAAAGGACCUGCCCCUGUCAGGGUUAUUUUGCUACACUCCAACAAAGAUGGGCCUCUUUUUUUUUUUUCAAUUAUUUUUUCAAGAAAAUAUCUUUCAUAUUUUUUGUUCAGUCCAUUUAAAUGUUAACAUUGGGGAAAAAAAGCCAUUAUCUGGGGCUAGUUAAGUUAGU